AGGCAGUAGUAGAAACCUGAUAUCACAAAUGAUAAUAUCCUUUAUAGGUACAAAUUGCUUCCAUGUUUAUGGCUGAAACAUGUGUACAUCAGAAACUUUAACUACAAUAUGGUAGAUAUCUACAGGACCAAGCAAGAAAUCAGAAAUAGAACAGCGGGCGUCUUAAGUAAAGCAAGCACCACCCGAUUACAUAUAAGUUUGUAUUCAUCCUCAGCACUGUCCAGGCUGAAGAGGGUACAUAGGGUCACAUACAGUCUGCAACAUCUGCUUGUCCUUCGACAGCAUAACAACAUUAACUAAACACGUGGGUCAAACACAUAAAUAAACAUAUGUCGGACAAUAGGGCGCAAUAGAAUCGGAGCUAGCAGAGACACAGGAAACUGCCUUAGAACAUCCGAAGAGACACUCCCAUAGCCAGACAUCAUUACUUCAUGCAUCCACAAACAAAAGGAUAGGGUCCUGCAUAUAUAUAGAUUUGCAAGCGCAGAUUAGCAGGAUGCCCAUCAGAGGAGUCAUUUCUGAUGCAUAGUAAGGUUCAUGAUAUUCAAAACAGUAAUAAUGGUAGACUUUGCAUAACAUGACAACACAUCAUAUCUCAUAAUUAGAAUACAUUAUAUUACUGAAAACAGAAACUGAGGUGACCAAUUGGAAUAAUCUGACCACAUUCCAUAGUUUAAAUUCAAAAAUUAGGCUUCUCCCUAAAGCAUACACUCAGAUAGGGGGCAUUUAAAAAGAAUCUGGAUGAAACACACAGGCAUACCUUCGAUAUUUCAUUGCACAUCUCAAUGGAGACAUUAUUAUCUUAUGGACCUCGUUAAAAUCGAUGACCUUAUUAGUUGCAACUAUAAUUAUAUGAAACAGGUACCUGCAACAAAAAAUGACAAACCAUGAUGGAUCAGAAAUGAAUUAAGCAGCUAGUUGCAGCACGACAUGCCCAACUUCUCACCUCUGUCUUUUUUAUUUUUCUUCAUUUAUCAAUAUACAUAGUGACACACCAACGCCUUGACUAUGCUCUAGCUAUCACAGUGGUUUACAAAUUCCAGAUUCGUAUUCAAACAAAUGAACUAUAUAGAGUCAUGAUAGGUGGGUGAGCCUUGCUUCUGUUCGGUUGUAAUUACAGGGGGCAUGGUAGGUUGGGAGUCUGGCUUCUCUUUGUGUGUAAAGAUAGUGUGUCAAGAGAGCCUUGCUUUUGUUCGGUUACAACUUCAGCAAGCUUGCUAUAGAGAAAGUUUAAUGAAAACACUUAGAUAGCAAGUAAGCCAUGUGAGAUUAAAAAAAAGCACGGACACCAGCAAGAGAACUGAAAUAUUCCAGUUUCAUGAAAUGCAUCUCCUUUGUACCUCUUAUGAUUAGAGGAAAGGCCAUAAAUGGAAGAACCAAGAGUAGAUUUUAUACCUACAUAUAAUGGCAGGCUGGCAACAGUAGGGCAUUUUCAUUGGAUAAAUACAUCAAAUUUUACAGGACUAAAAUCAACUUCAUCUCUGUGUACCUCAUAUGAUUAGAGGAAAGGCCAUAAGGUAAAAACCUAAAGUUAGCAUAGGAUUUAUACAUACAUGUAAUUACAGCAGCAGGGUGCUAUGCUAUUGGUGGUAUCCUUUUUAUAUAUAUCCUCACUGGUUAGCUGACAUAAGAAAAGGAGAAGAUCAGAAG
rnacentral:lncRNA from 1 species